rnacentral:rRNA from 1 species
UACGUAGGGCGCAAGCGUUGUCCGGAAUUAUUGGGCGUAAAGAGCUCGUAGGCGGCCUGUUGCGUCCGCUGUGAAAUCCCGGGGCUCAACCCCGGGCCUGCAGUGGAUACGGGCUGGCUAGAGGCAGGCAGGGGAGAACGGAAUUCCUGGUGUAGCGGUGAAAUGCGCAGAUAUCGGUAGGAACACCAGUGGCGAAGGCGGUUUCCUGGAGCUAACUUGACGCUGAGACGCGAAAGCUGGGGGAGCAAACGGG